rnacentral:lncRNA from 1 species
UGGCCGGAGAGUGAUGGUGGCAGCGAUGGCAAUGGGCCGGGCAGGGACCAUGGAAGUGGUGGCAGAGGUGGCAGGAGUGGGGCAGCUGGCGGUGGAGAAGGCUGUGGUCUUCAGGGGUCUGUAGGUGGAGGCAUGGCUCGGGCCAGCAGCAGGAACAGCAGCGAAGAGGCCUGGGGGGCACUUCAGGCUCCGCAACAGCAGAGUCCGGCAGCAUCUUCUCUUGAGGGAGCAAUUUGGAGACGAGCUGGAACCCAGACUCGCGCCCUGGAUGCCAUCCUUUAUCAUCCACAGCAAUCCCAUCUGCUUCGAGAGCUGUGCCCAGGAGUGAAUACCCAGCCCUACCUCUGUGAGAGUGGCCAUUGCUGUGGGGAGACUGGCUGCUGCACCUACUACUAUGAACUCUGGUGGUUCUGGCUGCUUUGGACUGUCCUCAUCCUCUUUAGCUGUUGUUGUGCCUUCCGCCACCGAAGAGCUAAACUCAGGCUGCAACAGCAACAGCGGCAGCGUGAAAUCAACUUGUUGGCUUACCAUGGGGCGUGCCACGGGGCUGGCCCUGUUCCAACUGGUUCACUGCUUGACCUUCGCCUCCUCAGCGCCUUCAAACCCCCAGCCUAUGAGGAUGUGGUUCACCACCCAGGCACACCACCACCUCCUUACACUAUGGCCCCUGGUCACCCUUUGACUACUUCCA